CACACGCGACGGGCUCCUGUCUGCUAGGCUGGCCGCACCUGAGGUAGGGGAAGUCCGGUGAGAAUCCGGCGCUGUCGCGCAGCGGUAUGCCAGUCAGUUCAACGGAACUCGAUCAUGGUGAGCCCGAAUGCCUCUCAGGGAAGCCCGUUCACG
rfam:Deinococcus sp. LM3 Deinococcus_sp_LM3_contig2, whole genome shotgun sequence.